rnacentral:tRNA from 1 species
GGCUGGGACGUGGCUCAGGGGUAGAGUGCUUGCCUAGCAUGCCCAAGGCCCUGCGUUCCACCCCCAGCACCAAGCCU